rnacentral:rRNA from 1 species
AGAGUUUGAUCAUGGCUCAGAAUCAACGCUGGCGGCGCGCCUAACACACGCAAGUCGAACGAGAAAGUGGAGCAAUCCAUGAGUACAGUGGCGUACGGGUGAGUAACACGUGGGUGAUCUACCUCUUAGUGAGGAAUAACCCUGGGAAACCGGGGCUAAUACCGCAUAAGCCUGAGAAGGGAAAGCAGCAAUGCCUGAGAGAGGAGCCCGCGGCGAUUAGCUAGGGAGGAAGAGCCCACCAAGGCAGAGAUCGGUAGCCGGCCUGAGAGGGCACACGGCCACACUGGCACUGAAACACGGGCCAGACUCCUACGGGAGGCAGCAGUGGGGAAUCUUGCACAAUGGGGGAAACCCUGAUGCAGCGACGCCGCGUGAGCGAUGAACCCUUCGGGUGUAAAGCUCUUUCGUCAGGGAAGAUUAUGACGGUACCUGGAGAAGCAGCUGCGGCUAACUACGUGCCAGCAGCCGCGGUAAUACGUAGGCAGCAAGCGUUGUUCGGAGUUACUGGGCGUAAAGGGUGUGUAGGCGGUUCUUUAAGUUUGGUGUGAAAUCUCCCGGCUCAACCGGGAGGGUGCGCCGAAUACUGAGGGACUAGAGUGUGGGAGAGGAAAGUGGAAUUCCUGGUGUAGCGGUGAAAUGCGUAGAUAUCAGGAGGAACACCGGUGGUGUAGACGGCUUUCUGGACCAUAACUGACGCUGAGACACGAAAGCGGGGUAGCAAACAGGAUUAGAUACCCUAGUAGUCC